rnacentral:rRNA from 1 species
GACGAACGCUGGCGGCGUGCUUAACACAUGCAAGUCGAACGGAAAGGCCCUGCUUUUGUGGGGUGCUCGAGGGGCGAACGGGUGAGAAACACGUGAGUAACCUGCCCUUGACUUGGGGAUAACUUCAGGAAACGGGGGCUAAUACCGGAUAGGAGCUCCUGCGGCAUGGUGGGGGUGGGAAAGUUUCGGCGGUUGGGGUUGGACUCGCGGCUUAUCAGCUUGUGGGUGGGGUAGUGGCUUACCAGGGCUUUGACGGGUAGCCGGCCUGAGAGGGUGACCGGCCACAUUGGGACUGGGAUACGGCCCAGACUCCUACGGGAGGCAGCAGUGGGGAAUAUUGCACAAUGGGCGGAAGCCUGAUGCAGCAACGCCGCGUGCGGGAUGACGGCCUUCGGGUUGUAAACCGCUUUCGCCUGUGACGAAGCGUGAGUGACGGUAAUGGGUAAAGAAGCACCGGCUAACUACGUG